CCUGAGUGCUGCCGAGGACCACCAAUUUGAGUUGUUGUUGCCAGGAGAUGGCUGAAAAUGCAUUCAGUUUUCAAAAAUUAUACCCCUGAACUUUUUGAUGCUAUACCUGAAAGGCUGAACUCAUUGAGCGAUCCCAAACUGAUGGCGACCACAUCGCAGCUCUUGACGGCAUCGACCUGAAUUGCUUGGAGAAGCAUGAGGCUGUGGUUGAACAGAGCACAAGAUGGAGGAGAAAAUCACGGCACUAUCCACUUCCUUAUUGUCUCUGAAGGUAUUGACCAAUGCACCAGUUGCAUGGUUAAUAUCUGAGCUCUGUGAUAGUUUAUCAUUGUGUAAUUACUCCAGAUUACAUGCCCUGAAUACAUGCUAGCGUAAUUGAAGGACCAAGUCUGACUAUUUAUUUUCA